UGGAAUGCGGGAGGCGACGAGGCGCGGCCCGAACAGCGGCCGCCGGGGCCGCGCCGAGCCACUGGCGAGCCCGACCCGCGCCGAG
rfam:Chloroflexi bacterium GWC2_73_18 gwc2_scaffold_9553, whole genome shotgun sequence.